rnacentral:lncRNA from 1 species
GGGGGAGAAUGGGCAUCCCACCCCAGCACUUUCUAGGAAGAAGGGCAGCAUUUUGAAGGGCUGGAAGUAGAGGAAGGAGGUUGCGGGUAGAAGACUCCAUACUUUCUGUGACGCCUAUUCCUUAGCUUGUGAUGAAUGUUUUCUCAGUAUCCUAUGCUGAAAACAGGUAGAUACUAAUAUCGAUCUUCAAGGGAGGGCUGUUGAGUAUUGAAUAAGACAAAAACAUGGAAGCAAUCAGCACCAUGCUGCAGGAGGAAAAACAUCUGAAGAAUAUAUUUGUAGACUUCCUGGAAAUUGAUAAGUUGUCUCCAUAACUAAAGCAAGCAGAUUUUACUAAUUAGAAUUAUCUACAUAAUUUUACUUCAUUCACUUCUUUCUGUCAUACUAGGAGAGCCUUUAUAUAACCAAAGAUAUUUUUGGACCAUGAAUUCAGAAAUUCUCGGAGCCACCCAUCAGUGCCUGAGCUUCAGUGAGUCCAUAUCCCAUGUCACCCACGGCAAAGGAGACUCUAAGACUUCUGAAGAGUUUCUUGCUUCUUUCCUGUGGGGCAGUGACUCCACUUCCCAGCAGUAAUGGAAUAUCCUGAAUUAGCUACAUUAAUGUUAGAACCAUUUGGACCUCACCCAGGACUUCAACUACAUUAUGAGUAACUCCUGGACGAUUGGCACAGAAGAAGGCACAAGGCAAAUACCCAUCUCUGUACACCCUGUGCUACUGUGUCAUGUGCUGCUCCAGGCAACUCCAAUGGAUUGGCCACCCUGGCCAAUGUGUUCUAGUAUGUUACGUUUAUGUUCCCCUGCUUUCUACAAUCCUGUUCAAAGAGUUGCUGACUUAACCACAGAGAGGAUUCCAGAACCUGAGACACAGAAUAAACUUGAGCAAUCAUAGUCCAUCCACUUCAUUGUCUCAUCAAAAACCAAAGGUCCAGUGAAGCUCUGGAAC